UCUCCGGGAAGACCUGGCGAAACCCAGCCAAAAUUGACUCUCGGCUGUUUUCCCCAUGUAGGGGCACAUCUUAUGGGUACGCAUGCGUCCUGCCUAGGCUGCGGUUGGCUGAUAAUUCCGUCUGUCACUAGAAGAACCAGUGGGGUGAGGCUGAGGCUCCGCUUCCCGCCCAUCGGCAGGGGCGCGGAGAGUGGAUUGGGGUCUUUGUCCGCGCCCACUGCAGUGUAGACAAGCCGACUGAGGAUCCUGUACGUGCCGCAGGUCGCAGGCUUGGAAGUGUUGGUUGGCGGAACCAUUGCCUCAUUUGCCGUGUCACAGCUGGAAGGGCGCCAGGGAGAGGGGUGAGGGGGCUGCUCGCAGGGCGGCAGGACUGGCGCUGCAUUCGAGCAGGGUCCGAGGUCCAGUUGCCAAUCAGCCAUUUAUUGAGUGCCUCCUGUGUGCCAUACACUUAGGAAUAUGGUGAUCUCUGCCUUCUGGGAGUUUACAGCAUUGAGGAGAUUAAACAAGUGACUUUAUUGCCUUCCCUCGACCUCCUUUUUACCGCUUUGCCUUAGAUGGAGAUUUUCUUUCUGAACCCGGAACCGCUCCCUUGUCCCCGCCUGUCUCUAGCUGGCAGGGCAGGGAUUGGGCGACACGGCCGGCGCCAGCCUUCGGUCUCCGCCGAAAGUAGUGAGACUGGCAAGGACGGGCCCCGCAGGUCACGUGAGGGCGGGGCUUGGUGGGCUCGUGACUCCCGUAGGCGGGGUUCCUUCCCUCCCCGCUCCGGCCGGCGGCGUUGUCACCAGCUUUUAUGGGGCACGUGGCGGCUGAUGCGCAGUAAAUAGGAGUGACUCUCCCCUGCGAAGGCGGGGACCGCAGUUUAUGAGACCAGACAAACUGCCGGAGCUAGGCCCUAGAAACUGUAAACACUUGGCAGCAAGUACAAAGCAAAGGUGGCGCGGGGCGGGUAGGGGGGGGAAGGAGGGGAGGAAGGGUCAAACGUAAAUCCGUCCGACUGGAAGCACUAAAUCCUGAGCCCUGAGGCUGAUCUGAACUAGACCUAGCAGGGAGAAGUGUGGAGGCUGCUUCCUAGCGCCUCCUCUUCCUUUUGGGCCUCUGCUUUACCAACUGUGAAAUAGGGUAGGGGAAUGGACUUCAGGCAGUGACACAGUGAUUUAAGACUGCAAACAGAUACGAGCGGGCUGUAUUGGCUCCAGUAACACGCGAGCCAUUCUGAAACCUGGGGUGGGUUCGCCCAGUGUCCCUUCCACAUCCGCUGUUCUGAAACAAGUUUCCACAAUCACAAGGCUGGAAAAGUUACUCAGCCCAUGGGACUGAGGGGUGUGAGUCAGAAGAACAUGAGCUACAGAGAACUGGUCUGGCCUUCUUGGCUGAAACGAAUACCACCCUUUGCUUCCCGCCUACCAAGAGCUGCCUCUUUGGGUGCAGGAGGCCAAAUCCCUCCUGAGGCUUCUAGCUGGGCAACCCCUCCGUAGUGCGGGGCUGGGGCUGCCUCCUUCUGACAGAACACUUAGAAGAAAUUCUCACCUGAAAACCCCACCUGAGACAUGUGGAAGUGCCCUGCCCUGCAGGCCACCCCCGAUUCUUCCCUGCUGAGGUGAAGUGCUGCCUCUCACCCUGACGGGGCCACACCAGUCCUUCCUUCCCGUCCUAGCCGCACCAAAGAAACCAAAACCCACGCCGAAGUAUCAGAAACGUGUAUUCUUUUUCUUUUAAUA